CCUACGGGUGGCUGCAGUGAGGAAUAUUGGUCAAUGGGCGCGAGCCUGAACCAGCCAAGUAGCGUGAAGGAUGAAUGCCCUACGGGUUGUAAACCUCUGUUAUAAAGGAAUAAAGUGAGGCACGUGUGCCUUUUUGUAUGUACUUUAUGAAUAAGGAUCGGCUAACUCCGUGCCAGCAGCCGCGGUAAUACGGAGGAUCCGAGCGUUAUCCGGAUUGAUUGGGUUUAAAGGGAGCGUAGGUGGGUUGUUAAGUCAGGUGUGAAAGUUUGCGGCUCAACCGUAGAAUUGCACUUGAGACUGGCAGUCUUGAGUACAGUUGAGGUAGGCGGAAUUCGUGGUGUAGCGGUGAAAUGCGUAGAUAUCACGAAGAACACCGAUUGCGAAGGCAGCUUACUAAACUGUCACUGACACUGAUGCACGAAAGUGUGGGUAUCAAACAGGAUUAGAUACCCGAGUAGUC
rnacentral:rRNA from 1 species